UUCAACCCACCAAUUGUGUAAAAACGGUUUCUCUUCCAUUACCGGCAACCGUCCCUCACUCAUAAAAACACACGUUGAUUCUAAUGCAGAACAGUGGAGACCCAUUGUUGAAGAAGUUACUGGUCUUUCUGCACAAAUGGUAGAUGACAAUGUACAUCCCUUUUUGUGUCCAAUGAAUGAAUGUUAUUGUGAUGGUGAUGAGUCAGGGUACUGGAAAAUCUGCUUUGUUAAAUAGUCUCAUUAUUGUUUCAGGUUUGAAUCUCAUUGGUCGUUAAUGCUCAUUAUCGUUUCAGGUUUGAAUCUCAUAUUAUCUUGGUCGGCUUAGCAGCGGUGUUUCGAUUUCACGGAAUGAAAGUUGCAUUUUCUGUUGAUCCAUUUUAUUAGUUAUUCUGUUAAUCCAGUCUUCUUGCAUGUAGAUAUAAAAUUGAACUACUAUGCAAAACCCAAUCCGUUGCUUUCAACUUCAACUUUCAAUUUCAACUUCUAUUAUGCAAAACCUAAACCUAUGAUUUAUAAUAAGAGAACAUCUAUAUGAUUUAUAUAAUGUAAUUAUAUAUUUGUAUAUUGGUUUGCAAUAUCGGUUCUGACAACGAUUCAGAUUUUGCAGAAUUGGUUAAGUUUUUAUCACACCAUAACCAAUUUUACAGCAACACACAUUUAAGUUCUGAUAUAUUUCAACAAGAGUAACUGAUUUAAACAUGCAUGAUAUAUCGGUUAAAACUUUAUAAACAACGAUGAAUACACCAAAAUAGUCUUUUUUUUUUAUUGUUUUCACUGUUAAUAUACAUACAUACUAAAUAAGUCUCAUUCAAUUCAAUUUAACAACUGGAUUCACAAGUUCAAAGAUGUUGUGUGUAUCCAGAGCACAUAAGAAGGUUGAGCGUGAAUAGAUCUUGCAUCAGCAACUCAAAGAGGGUAUCACUCUUCGGCGGUUUUAAAGAUACAAGCUAUAUUUUGUUUGUGAUGGUUCGAGCGAAUAGUUCAUGGACGCCAGAAGGACAAGGAAGGUAUAAUAACACUUUUUCUGAUGGAAUGGGAAGUGCUAAGGAAAAGGCUGUGAUUAUUCCAAUUGUUCUAGGAAUGAUAGUUCUCAUUAUUUUACUCUAUAUGGUACGGUAUUAUAGUGUUCAUAGAAAAAGAACUUUGAAAAGAGAGAUGGAAAGUUCAUUGGUCUUAUCAGUUGCUCCGGUGAAUUAUACUUUAUGCGCUUUGCAAAUCAGGACAAGCAACUUUUCGCAGCUUCUAGGAACAGGUAUGUGUGUUAUGUAUUGAAUUGAAUCUUACUGCGUUAUGAUUUCAGUAUAAUUUGUUGCUAACUGUUUAUAUUUUGUAGGUGGAUUUAGAUGUGUGUAUAAAGGAAGCUUAGGAGAUGGUACCUUAGUGGCGGUGAAGAAACUUGAUAAGAUUUUGCCUCAUGGAGAAAAAUAAUUUAUUACUAAAGUAAACACGAUUUCCUCAAUGCAUCAUAUGAAUUUGGUUCGUCUAUGUGGUUUUUGUUCGAAAAGACCUCAGAGCCUUUUAGUUUACGAGUUCAUGAAGAAUGGUUCAUUGGAUCAGUGGAUCUUCCCUUCGAUUAGAGGACGAGAUAGAUUGCUCGGGAGGAUAAGAUUGUCGUUACGGUAAGGUUAAGACCUUUAAACAGGAGGGAACAAUUGGCUAAAUACCAGGUGGCAUGGGAUUGCAUUGAUGAUUAUUCUAUUGUGUAUUUACAUUAUUUAUUCAGCCGAGUUCCGUAUAUAAGUUUUAACUAAUGUCACCUAGGCGGUUAAGUGUUUGAUGACAUUGGUUUUUCUCAUUGUAGACAAAGUUUUUGGUCCGGCUUCAAUUACAGAAGCAGUAUACGAAGGAGUAAAGAAUGUCGCAUUGUCUUCGCUGAUGGGGAUCAAUGGUAUUGUAUUGAAAUCAUCACUAUUCUUAUUUUCAUCAACUUAUUAUUAGUGAAUUGGUUUUGUCGGUGUGAAUACAUCAGCGGUUAUUUGGAUGAUCCUGUUUGGACUUAAUGGAGCAAUAGGCAUUCGUGUUUCGAAUAAACUCAGGGCUGGUAAUCCACAGGCCACACAUUUGGCAGUAUGUGUUGUUGUAGUGAAUGUCUUUUUUGAGGGCAUCGUAGUUGGAGCAGUGAUAAUAAUGGAUAUAUUAAUGACAUUAUUCUACCUAACAAAUCCUACAUUUUCAAACCGAUGAGCUACGGAUGAAGAAACAUGUAAUGUACAUAUGUUGUUGCCUAUUGAGAUAGAUACAUGUAACGAGAUUUACAUUAAUUCAUGGUGAUAUUGAUGUAUAUAUAUCUUUCAAUCUACAAACUUAUAUUUUAUUUAAUUAUU